GACGAACGCUGGCGGCGUGCUUAACACAUGCAAGUCGAACGGAAAGGCCCUGCGUUUGUGGGGUGCUCGAGUGGCGAACGGGUGAGUAACACGUGAGUAACCUGCCCUUGACUUUGGGAUAACUUCAGGAAACUGGGGCGAAUACCGGAUAGGAGCUCCUGCUGCAUGGUGGGGGUUGGAAAGUUUCGGCGGUUGGGGAUGGACUCGCGGCUUAUCAGCUUGUUGGUGGGGUAGUGGCUUACCAAGGCUUUGACGGGUAGCCGGCCUGAGAGGGUGACCGGCCACAUUGGGACUGAGAUACGGCCCAGACUCCUACGGGAGGCAGCAGUGGGGAAUAUUGCACAAUGGGCGGAAGCCUGAUGCAGCAACGCCGCGUGCGGGAUGACGGCCUUCGGGUUGUAAACCGCUUUCGCCUGUGACGAAGCGUGAGUGACGGUAAUGGGUAAAGAAGCACCGGCUAACUACGUG
rnacentral:rRNA from 1 species